UACGACUACAUAUCAGGCAUAUCAAUAAGCGGAGGAAAAGAAACUAACUAGGAUUCCCUCAGUAACGGCGAGUGAAGCGGGAAGAGCUCAAAUUUGAAAUCUUCAAGGUUUUACCUUGACGAAUUGUAGUUUAAAGGAGUGUUUUCUGUUGGUGUUUUGGUAAAAGUUCUUUGGAAUAGGACAUCAUAGAGGGUGAGAAUCCCGUAUUUGACCAUUACUUCCAGCGUUGUGAUACACUUUCAAAGAGUCGGAUUGUUUGGGAAUGCAGUCCAAAAUGGGUGGUAAAUUUCAUCUAAAGCUAAAUAUUGGCGAGAGACCGAUAGCGAACAAGUACCGUGAGGGAAAGAUAAAAAGAACUUUGAAAAGAGAGUUAAACAGUACGUGAAAUUGUCAAAAGGGAAGCGUUUGACACCAGUGUUGUCUUCUCGAAAAUCAAUUAAAAAUGGCUUGAUUUUGUGUUGUAUUGACUUUAUCGGCUUUCUGCACUUUUUUCAUGUCUUUUUAAUGCACUUUUCGUUUAACAAGUCAACAUCAAUUUCUUUUGUUGUAAAAGAGUCAUUGGAAGGUGGCUUUCACUUCGGUGAAAGUGUUUAUAGCCUUUGGCUUCUGCAAUCGGAGAGAUUGAGGUCUGCAGCGUAGAUCCUUCGGGGUUAGAUACGUAGAUGCUAAGUUAUAGUUUUUCAUAGACAACUUGUUGACUAUGAUUAAUCAUGUAGCUUACUCGUUUGCGCUAUUUUACCUACGCUUAGGAUGUUGAAUCUGUGCGAGACUAC
rnacentral:rRNA from 1 species